ACGGGUGAGUAACACGUAUCCAACCUGCCGUCUACUCUUGGCCAGCCUUCUGAAGGAAGAUUAAUCCAGGAUGGCAUCAUGAGUUCACAUGUCCGCAUGAUUAAAGGUAUUUCCGGUAGACGAUGGGGAUGCGUUCCAUUAGAUAGUAGGCGGGGUAACGGCCCACCUAGUCAACGAUGGAUAGGGGUUCUGAGAGGAAGGUCCCCCACAUUGGAACUGAGACACGGUCCAA
rnacentral:rRNA from 1 species